UACGUAGGGCGCAAGCGUUGUCCGGAAUUAUUGGGCGUAAAGAGCUCGUAGGCGGCCAGUUGCGUCUGCUGUGAAAACCUAGGGCUUAACUCUGGGCGUGCAGUGGGUACGGGCAGGCUAGAGUGCGGUAGGGGAGACUGGAAUUCCCGGUGUAGCGGUGAAAUGCGCAGAUAUCGGGAAGAACACCCGUGGCGAAGGCGGCACUCUGGGACGGUACUGACGCUGAGACGCGAAAGCGUGGGGAGCGAACAGG
rnacentral:rRNA from 1 species